rnacentral:rRNA from 1 species
GGGUUGCGGACAGUGUCUGGUGGGUAGUUUGACUGGGGCGGUCUCCUCCCAAAGAGUAACGGAGGAGCACGAAGGUUAGCUAAUCCUGGUCGGACAUCAGGAGGUUAGUGCAAUGGCAUAAGCUAGCUUGACUGCGAGCGUGACGGCGCGAGCAGGUGCGAAAGCAGGUCAUAGUGAUCCGGUGGUUCUGAAUGGAAGGGCCAUCGCUCAACGGAUAAAAGGUACUCCGGGGAUAACAGGCUGAUACCGCCCAAGAGUUCAUAUCGACGGCGGUGUUUGGCACCUCGAUGUCGGCUCAUCACAUCCUGGGGCUGAAGUAGGUCCCAAGGGUAUGGCUGUUCGCCAUUUAAAGUGGUACGCGAGCUGGGUUUAGAACGUCGUGAGACAGUUCGGUCCCUAUCUGCCGUGGGCGCUGGAGAAUUGAGGGGGGCUGCUCCUAGUACGAGAGGACCGGAGUGGACGCAUCACUGGUGUUCGGGUUGUCAUGCCAAUGGCAUUGCCCGGUAGCUAAAUGCGGAAGAGAUAAGUGCUGAAAGCAUCUAAGCACGAAACUUGCCCCGAGAUGAGUUCUCCCUGAGACUUUAAGUCUCCUGAAGGAACGUUGAAGACGACGACGUUGAUAGGCCGGGUGUGUAAGCGCAGCGAUGCGUUGAGCUAACCGGUACUAAUGAACCGUGAGGCUUAACCUUACAACGCCGAAGGUGUUU